rnacentral:rRNA from 1 species
UAUUGCUCUUUAACGAGGAAUCCCUAGUAAGCGUGAGUCAUCAGCUCAUGUUGAUUACGUCCCUGCCCUUUGUACACACCGCCCGUCGCUACUACCGAUUGAAUGGCUUAGUGAGACUCUCGGAUCGGGUUUUAGGAACCGGCAACGGUACCUUUCUUCUGAGAAGUUUGUCAAACUUGGUCAUUUAGAGGAAGUAAAAGUCGUAACAAGGUUUCCGUAGGUGAACCUGCGGAAGGAUCAUUUUAGAAUUAUUAGGAAGAUUUUU